rnacentral:rRNA from 1 species
GUGGGGAAUCUUCCGCAAUGGACGAAAGUCUGACGGAGCAACGCCGCGUGAGUGAAGAAGGUUUUCGGAUCGUAAAGCUCUUUCGUUAGGGACGAACGUGCUCUUUGUGAAUAAUGAGGAGUAAUGACGGUACCUAAAUAAGAAGCCACGGCUAACUACGUGCCAGCAGCCGCGGUAAUACGUAGGUGGCAAGCGUUGUCCGGAAUUAUUGGGCGUAAAGCGCGCGCAGGCGGGAUAUCAAGUCUGUCUUAAAAGUGCGAGGCUCAACCUCGUGAGGGGACAGAAACUGGUAUUCUUGAGUGUCGGAGAGGAAAGUAGAAUUCCAAGUGUAGCGGUGAAAUGCGUAGAGAUUUGGAAGAACACCAGUGGCGAAGGCGACUUUCUGGACGAUGUCUGACGCUGAGGCGCGAAAGCUAGGGGAGCGAACGGGAUUAGAAACCCGAGUAGUCC